rnacentral:rRNA from 1 species
AAUUUAUGGCGUUGGAGUCGUGGCCCACUACCCAGUGUAGUGAGUGCUGGUGUCUCCGGGUCAUCCUUCUGGAAAGCACUUCUGGCCUUGAUUGGUUCGGUUGUUGUGAUCCAGAUCAUUUACUGUGAGUAAAUCAAGGUGUUCAAAGCAGGCUUGUGAAGCUUGUAUGCUCUAGCAUGGAAUAAUAAGAUAGGACUUUGGUUUUAUUUUGUUGGCUUUCAGAACGAAAGUAAUGAUUGAUAGGGAUAGUUGGGGGUGCUAGUAUUGAAUGGUCAGCGGUGAAAUGCUCAGACCCAUUCAAGACUAACUUCUGCGAAAGCAUU